UGUGUUCUAGAAUCUCUAAAGAAUUUUACAGCUUCAUCAGAAUAACAGAAUAUUACCAAGACAACUUUUACUGAAAAAUACAACAAACACAAAUAUGAACUGCUAUAAAUACAACGGACGGGAUUGUGACAUCAUCAUAGCGGUCGAAGGCACUCAUUUCCAGGCUCACAGAUUAGUGCUGUUGGAAUUGAGCCCUUAUUUCAGGUGAGGCUUAAAAACCACAGCAGAGAAACAUCUCAGAGGUGUGGUGUGGGGUUGAGAAGUAUACGAAUGAACCGUGAGUGAACAGUUUCAUAGUUCCCUUUCGGAACUUGAGCUGCGUCGAAACGCUAUGGGAACACCCUCUGCAUGACCGCGCUCUGAACCACGUGUGUAAUUUGACCAAUAGGCGUUGGGACGUGACGUCAUCGGCGGGUGACGUCGCGUAAACAGGAAGCUACAAAUGGCUGCGAGAUGGACAAGACGCUAGCUUCUGCUCGUUCAGUGCUCUGUUCUCAAGGUGGAGCAGCCCGAACCAGAUCAUAUACACCAUCCAUGGCGUGGCUCCAUACAUAAUGGACUACAUCAUCCAGUACGCUUACACGAAGCGGAUCAGAAUCACGCAAAGAAACGUGAAGGAUCUGUUGAUGGCAGCCGAUUAUCUGUUAGUGAAAGACGUCGUUCGACUCUGCUGCAAGUUUCUGGAGAAGCAGCUCUGCCCACAUAACUGCCUUGAUAUAUGGAGGUUUGCCCGUAUAUACUCCUGGCACAAGCUGUGUGUUAAAGCAGCUAUAAUGGCGAAGAUGAACCUGCCGUGCCGGAUUGCUUGUUCUGUACCCAGAUUGAAUUUAUGGCCACACUCCUCCCUGGACAGUGUGGGUGUCUGUUCUAUAAGAAGGUGUCAAAACUGCUACACAUGGCCUAACCGAGAGGAACAGUAACCAAGCCUGGAACUCUGCCACCAGACCAUGCACACACACAAAUACACACAAAAACACUUUUUUUUUUAAUUAGUCCACAUAAUCAAAGCUUGAUCAUGUACAAUCUCACAACAGCAUAUCAUUCUCUCUUGCAGGGUUUCACUGAACACGACAUAAAAUACAUGAUACAUGCUCAGGGGAUAAAACCUGAUUAUAUAAAAUACAAAUAAAAGUGUCAAUCCGAUUAUGACUUCUUUACAAUUCA